ensembl:snoRNA
AAGACUAUACUUUCAGGGAUCAUUUCUAUAGUUUGUGAUUUGAGACAUGUGUUUCUAAAGAGUAUGGUCUCGCUGCCCACGAUGAAGAGUUGGUGGUACUCCUUCUUGAACAUGAAGAAAGUAGAGACUUGGUUCGUCAUUGUUCUCUACUACUGAUGACUGUUCACUGUUUCUUUUAGAGACAGUGAGUGAAAGAGUACGAUCGGAGUGGUC